GGCAGCCAGCCCUAGCUUCUCCAGGAGGGCCCAGGGGCCCCAGGGGCAGGGUGGGGGAUUAAAGACACGGGCCACAUUAGCACUCAAGACCCGGGCUCCAUGCCGGCUCUGCCACCCUCCCAGGCCGGGGGCCGUGGAUUUCCAGGUUGUUCCCAAUGACCCAAGUCGUCAUCUUCUGUAGAGAGGUCACUUAACCGCAUCACUGAGACCAGCUUUUCUGAAGACGGUGGCGUGAUCUCCAGGCAAUGAGGCGGAUUCUGAUGCAGAGGAGGGAGAGACACGUGAACUCAUAAGACAAAGCCGCAACUGUCAGACUGUCAGUUCGAGCGCCACCUGCUUUGUCCAGCCGAGGCAGGAAGGGCUAAAAUGCCGAGGGCCGACCACACGGACCCCGGGACGGAGAGCACGCUGCGCCUUCUCGAUGGAACAUUACCUACCCGUUUACGUGACAUUUCUAAAGAUUUUCUACCAAGAAAUAAGCCUGUGUUACAAUGCCAAGUUUGAAAUAAAGGAUAGAACAAACUGA